GCAGAGGGGAGAGGAAGCCAGGAUAUGUUGAAUUUGAGGACAAAAAGACUAAUUAAUAGCAAGAAGCCAGUCAUGGUGGCACAUGCCCAUAAUUUCAGCUACUCAGGAGAGGCAGAAGUUGGUUGGAUUGUGGUGCAAAGCCUCCUUCUAAACAAACAAGCCGGAAUGAUUGUAAAUACCUGUCAUCCUAGACACAGGGCAAGAUGAGCUCUGUCUAGAGGUGAGGGGCUAAAACUAAAAAAGGGCUAGAGUGUGCUCAAGUGAAAGACUGCCUGCCUAGUAAGCAGGAGACCUUGAGUUCAAAAUCACCAAUACCUCCAAAUAAAUAAAUUCAAAUACAGCCCGCUUUCUCCUAGUAACUUAAGAUAUAGAACAAGCCUCUCUUGUGCUUUGACCUAAGAAAAGUUUUAUAUUCUUUUUAUUAAGUUUGGAUCGGUGUCUAUUCUGAGUCAAUGUCUUAAAUAUUUCUGGUUGCUCCUUUAAUGUGUGGAGUUUCUCCUGGUGUCAAUUCCUUUGGGGCAUCUUCCUCCUAUUUGUCACACCACCUUCCUCUCUUAGUAAGUUUGUCUUCACUAAACUCCUUUGGUUGCAUGCAUAUCUAGAGUACCACAAACACAGGAUGCACUAUUUCUUCUGUGGCUCCAUUUACAAAUAAUUUGCAUCUCAUUACUACAUUCAUUAUUUUUCUUUAUUGUGCUUUUUUUCUUUCAGUCAGUCAUGGGGCUUGAACGCAGGGCCUGGGCACUGUUCCUUAGCUCUU